AUUGAACGCUGGCGGCGUGCCUAAUACAUGCAAGUCGAGCGAAGCGGCGGAUGGGUGAGUAACGCGUGGGUAACGUGCCCUUAAGUCUGGGAGACCCUUUUGAAACAGAUGCUAAUACCGGAUACUGAAGGAUGGACCGGCGAUGCAUUAGCUAGUUGGUAAGGUAACGGCUUACAAAGGCGAUGAUGCAUAGCGGGGUUGAGAGGCUGAUCGGCCACAUUGGAACUGAGACACGGCCCAAACUCCUACGGGAGGCAGCAGUAGGGAAUCUUGCACAAUGGGCGAAAGUCUGAUGCAGCCACGCCGCGUGUAUGAAGAAGGCCUUCGGGUUGUAAAGUACUUUCAGCGAGGAGGCGUUACUCGCAGAAGAAGCACCGGCUAACUCCGUGCCAGCAGCCGCGGUAAUUC
rnacentral:rRNA from 1 species